rnacentral:rRNA from 1 species
UACGUAGGGGGCUAGCGUUGUCCGGAAUCAUUGGGCGUAAAGCGCGUGUAGGCGGCCCGGUAAGUCCGCUGUGAAAGUCGGGGGCUCAACCCUCGAAAGCCGGUGGAUACUGUCGGGCUCGAGUGCGGAAGAGGCGAGUGGAAUUCCUGGUGUAGCGGUGAAAUGCGCAGAUAUCAGGAGGAACACCGGUGGCGAAGGCGGAUCUCUGGGCCUUACCUGACGCUCAGGUGCGAAAGCUAGGGGAGCGAACAGG